CCAAAAUUCCUUGUUAUUGAUUUCUAGUUUUAUUCUGUUGUUUUCACAGAAUAUGCUUUAUAUUAUCUUAAUGUUUUUGAAUGUUUUAAGACUUCUUUUGUGACCUAAUAUGUGGUCUGUCCUUGAGAAUGAGCCAUGUACUGAGGAAAAAAAUGUGUACUCUGCAGCCUUUGGAUGAAAUGUUCUGUAAAUGUCUUUUAGGUCUAUAUUUGGUUUAUAAUGCAGAUUAAAUUCAAUAUUUUUCUGUUGACUGUUUACUUUUUCUCUAGAGCUGUAUGUAUUAAUCCAUUUUCACACUGCUAGAAAGAAUUACCUGAGACUGGAUAAUUUAUAAAGAGAUUUAAUUGCCUUACAUGGCAGCAGGGGAGAGAGAGAGGGGGGCGGGGAGAGAGAGAGCGAGAGAGAGCGAGAGCGAGAGCGAGCGAGAGAGAGAGAGAGAGAGAGAGAGAGAGAGAGAGAGAGAGAGAGAGGGAGAGAGAGAGGAAGUAUCAAACUUUAAAAUGAUCAGCUCUUGUGAGAACUCACUAUCAUGAGAACAGCAAGGGGGAAAUCUGCCCACCAUGAUCUAAUCAUCUCCCACCAGGCCCCUCCUUUGACAUGUGGCAAUUACAAUUCAAGAUAAGAUUUGGGUGGGAACACUAAUAUGGUUUGACUCUGUGUCCCCACCCAAAUUUUUUCUUGAAUUGUAAUUUCCAGGUGUCCAGGGAGGAACCUGGUGGGAAGUGAUUGGAUCAUAGGGACAUUUCCUCAUGCUGUUCUUGUGAUGAGUGAGGGAGUUCUCAUAAAAGCUGAUGGUUUUAAAGUGUGGAACUUCCUCAUUCUCACAAUUCAUUCUCUCCUGCCACCAUGUAAGACAUGCCUCGCUUCCCCUUCCCCUUCUGCCAUGAUUGUAAAUUUCCUGAGGCCUUCCCAGCCAUGUGAGUCAAUUAAACCUAUUUUCUUUAUAAAUUACCCAGUAUUGGGUAUUUCUUUAUAGCAGUGUAAAACUAAACUAAUACAGACACAGAGCCAAACUAUAUAAUUCCACCCCUGGUCCCUCUCAAAACUCUUGUCCUUUUCACAUUUCAAAACCAAUCAUGCCUUCUCAACAGUCCCCCAAAGUCUUAACUCAUGCCUGCAUUAACUCAAAAUUCCAAAUCAUUAAUCUCAUCUAAGACAAGGCAACUCCCUUCUGCUUAUCAGCCUGUACAUUCAAAAACAAAUUAGUUACUUCCAAAAUACAAUGGGUAUACUGGCAUUAAGUAAAUGUUCUAAUCCCAAAUAGGAGAAAUUGGCCAAAACAAAGGGGCCUUAGGCCCCAUGCAAGCUCAACACAUGACAGGGCACUCAUUAAAUCUUAAAGCUCUAAAAUAAUCUAUUUUGACUCCAUGUCUAACAUCAAGGCCACAGUGAUACAUAAGAUUUAAUAAGAGCCCAGGGGUAUGCUCCCAAGGCCUUGGUCAGUUCCACCCCUGUAGCUCUGCAGGGUACAUCCCUGGUGGCUGUUUUCAUGAGCUGGCAUUGAGUGUCUGUGACUUUUUCAGGUGCAUGGUACAAGUUGUUGAUGGAUCUACUAUUCUGGGGUCUGGAGGAUGGUGGCUCUCUUCUUAUAGUUCCACUAGACAGUGCCCCAGUGGGGACUCUCUGGGAGGGCUCCAGCCUCAUAUUUCUCCUCUACAUUACCUUGGUAGAAGUUGUCCAUGAGGGCUCCACCCUUGCUGCAGACUUCUGCUUGGACAUCCAGGCAUUUCUAUACAUCCUGUGAAAUCUAGGCAGAGGCCCCCAACACUCAACAAUUGCCUUCUGCACACCUGCGGGCCCAAUACCACAUGGAAGUCACCAAGGCUUGGGGUUUGCACCCUCUGAAGCAAUGGCCUGAGCUGUUUGUUGGUCCGUUAAGCCACAUAUGGAUCUGGAGCAGCUGAGAUGCAGGGUGCCCUGUCCUGAAGCUGCAAAGAGUAGUAAGACCCUGGGCCUGGCCCACAAAACCACUUUUCCCUCCUAGACCUCCAGGCCUGUGAUGGAAGGGGCUUCCAUGAAGGUCUCUGAAAUGUCCUGGAGACAUUUUCCCUAUCGCCUUGGAUAUUAACAUUUGGCUUCUCAUAACUUAUGCAGCUGGCUUGAAUUUCUCCCCAGAAAAUGAGUUUUUCUUCUCUAAUACAUGAUCAGCCUGCAAAAUUGCCAAAGUUUUAUGCUCAGCUUCCCUUUUCAAUAUAAGUUUCAAUUUCAGACCAUCUUUUAAUAAAUGCAUAUGGCCAUACACUUUUGUAAAAAGCCAGGUAACAUCUUGAAUGCUUUGCUACUUAGAAAUUUCUUCUGCCAGAUAUCCUAAAUAAUUUCUCUCAAGUUCAAAGUUCCAUAGGUCUCUAGAGCAGGGACAAAAUGCCACCAGCCUCAUUGCUAAAGCAUAGCAAGGGUCACUUUUACUCCAGUUCCCAAGAAGUUCCUCAUCUCCAUCUGAAGCCACCUCAGCCUGGACUUCAUUGUCCAUACCACUGUCAGCAUUUCAGUCAAAACCAUUCAACAGGUCUCUAGGAAGUUUCAAUCUUUCCUCAUAUUCCUGUCUUCUUCUGAGUCCUCCAUACUGUUCCAACCUCUGCUUGAUACCUAGAGUCACAUCACAGUUUCAGGUUAUCUUUAUAGUAUUACCUCACUAUCUCAGUUCUAAUUUCCUAUAUUGGUUCAUUUUCAGAAUUCCAUAAAGGACUACUUGAGACUGAGUAAUUUAAAAAGGAUUGAGAUUUUAUCAACUCACAGUUCUGCAUAUCUGGGGAGGCCUCAGGAAAUGUAUAAUCAUGGUGGAAGGUGAAGGGGAAGUAAGGCAUGUUUUACAUGGCAGCAGGAGAGGGACAGUGAGUGGGAAAGUGCCACACUUUAAAACCAUCAGCUCUCAUGAGAACUCACUGUCACAGGAACAGCAAGGGAGAGAUCCACUCCCAUUAUCCAAUCACUUCCCCCCAGGUUUCUCCUCUGACAGUGGCGGUUAUAAUUUGAGAUGAGAUUUGGGUGGGGACACAGAGCCAAACCAUAUCACUGUCCAACGCUGAAAGUGGGGUAUUGUAUUGAGGUCUAUUUCUCUCUUUAGCUCUAAUAAUAUUUACUUUAUAUAUCUGGGUGCUCCAGUGUUGGAUGCAUAUAUAUUAUAAUAAUUAUUAUAUCUUCUAGCUGAAUUGAUCCCUUUAUCAUUAUAUAGUGACUCUUUGUCUAAUUAUAGCUUUUGUCUUGAGAUCUAUUUUAUCUGAUAUAAGUAUACCACUACUGCUCUUUUUCGGUUUCUAUUGGUAUGCAAUAUUUUUUCCAUCCUUUUAUGUUCAGUGUGUCUGAAAAUUUAUGUGUGUCUUUAUAGGUCAAGUAUAUUUCUUGUAAGCAACAGAUCAUUGGGCCUUGUUUUGUUUUGGUUUUUGUUGUUUUGAGAUGGAGUCUCACUCUGACACCCAGGCUAAAGCACAGUGGCAUGAUCUCGGCUCACUGCAACUUCCACCUCCUGGGUUCAAGUGAUUCUCCUGCCUUAGCCUUCUGAGUAGCUGGGAUUAUAGAUGCCCACUACCACACUUGGCUAAUUUUUGUAUUUUUAGUAUAGAGGGUGGUUUCAGCAUGUGGGUCAGGCUAGUUUUGAACUCCUGAUGUCAAGUGAUUGGCCUACCUUGGCCUCCCAAAGUGCUGGGACUACAGAUGUGAACCACCGUGCCUGGCCUGGGUCUUGUUUUUUAAAAAUUCAUCAGUUACUCUCUUUUUAUUGGAGUGUUUAGUCCAUUUACCUUCAAUAUUUUUUCUUGAUAAGUAAGGACUUACUCCUGACGUUUUGUUAUUUGUUUUCUGCUUGUUUGUGUGAUCUACCCUCCUCAGCCUCCCAAAGUGCCAGAAGAGUUUUCUAAAACCAGCUGUCUUCAUUUCCUCACAUUCUUAUUCAUUAUUUUCAAUUCCAUUCUGAUGCACUGAGAUAAUGACAAUCACCACCAUACAACUGAAACGACUUCUGUCAUCAUCAACCUCCCUGUUGCCAAAUCUAAUGAAAAUGUGCAUAUUAUCACCUUAUUAGUCUAUUGAGUUUUUGACACAACUUUAUUCUUUUCUUGCUCUUGGCUUCCAUGACUCUAACACUCUAUUGGUUUUCCUCUUAAUUUGUUGCCUGUUUCCUUUCAGUCUCCUUUAUUUUCUUUUUCUCUAACCAACCUUUAAGCACUGAGAUUUACUUUCUUUUUCUUUCCUUUGAUAAUAGUCAUUUCUCUAUAGUCUUCAGUAUUGUAUAUAUGCCAAAACUUCCAAAAAUAUGUCUCUAGAUCAGACCUAUUCUAUACUCUGUCUUUACUUGGAUGUCUCACAGGCAUCUCAUACUUAAAAUGUUCAAAUUAGAUUCUUGGUCCCCUUCUCCCAUCUCGUUUCUUGAGCUGCAGCCUGUUAAUCUUCUGGUCCUUACCUUUUUAGUAAGUGGCACUACCAUCCACACAGCCAAAAGCUUGGCUCCUUGAUUCUACCAUUUCCCUCAACUCCUACAGCUACAAUCCUUCAGCUUGUUUUAUUGCAUCUCUCUACAUGUAUUUACAAUUUAUCAAUAUCUCUUCAUUUUCACACUCCUUCCUAGUAUAAACAAUAUAAUUUGUCACCUUCAGUAGUGUCCUAACUUCUACCCUUGCCUUGCUCUCAUCUGCCUUUUUAAAAGGAAACCAAAUUUCUACAUGCACCAGAAGACAGAGGUCCUCUUUUUUUGCUUAAUGCAGCCAUGACUUGUGGUCCCAAGAAGCAUCUAAAGCGAGUAGCAGCUUCAAAGCAUUGGAUGCUGUAUAAAUUGACCAGUGUGUUUGCCGCUUGUCCAUCCACAGUCCCAACAAGUUGAGAGAGUGUCUUCCCCUCAUAAUUUUCCUGAGGAACAGACUUAAGUAUGCCCUGACAGGAGAUGAAGUAAAGAAGAUUUACUUGCAGUGGUUUAUUAAGAUCAAUGGCAAGGUCCAAAAUGAUAUAACCUACCCUGCUGGAUUCAUGGAUGUCAUCAGCAUUGACAAGAUGGGAGAGAAUUUCUGUCUGAUCUAUGACACUAAGAGUUGCUUUCCUGUACAUCAUAUUACACCUGAGAAGGCCACGUACAAGUUGUGUAAAGUGAGAAAAAUCUUUGUGGGCACAAAAGGAAUCCCUCAUUUGAUGACUCAUGAUGCUUGCACUGUCUGCUACCCCGAUCCCCUCAUCAAGGUGAAUGAUACCAUUCAGAUUGAUUUGGAGACUGGCAAGCUUACUGAUUUCAUCAAGUUUGACACGGGUAAUCUGUGUAUGGUUACUGGAGGUGCUAAUCUGGGAAGAAUUGGUGUGAUCAUCAACAGAGAGAGGCACCUUGGAUCUUUUGACAUGGUUUAUGUGAAAGAUGCUGAUGCCAACAGCUUUGCUCUUUGACUUUCCAACAUUUUUAUUAUUGGCAAGGGCAACAAACCAUGGAUUUCUCUUCCCCUAGGAAAGGGUAUCUGCCUCACUAUUGCUGAAGAGAGAGACAAAAGACUGGUGGCCAAACAGAGCAGUGGGUGAAAUGGUCCCUGGGUGACAUGUUAGAUCAUUGUACAUAAUUAAAAAUAAUGUGGCAUGAUUAAAAAAAAA